AGUGAACGCUGGCGGUAGGCCUAACACAUGCAAGUCGAACGGCAGCACAGUAAGAGCUUGCUCUUACGGGUGGCGAGUGGCGGACGGGUGAGGAAUACAUCGGAAUCUACUUUUUCGUGGGGGAUAACGUAGGGAAACUUACGCUAAUACCGCAUACGACCUACGGGUGAAAGCAGGGGAUCUUCGGACCUUGCGCGAUUGAAUGAGCCGAUGUCGGCUUAGCUAGUUGGCGGGGUAAAGGCCCACCAAGGCGACGAUCCGUAGCUGGUCUGAGCGGAUGAUCGGCCACACUGGAAGUUAGACACGGACCCGACUCCUGCGGGACGCAGCAGUGGGGAAUGGUGGACAAUGGGCGCAAGCCUGAUCCAGCCAUACCGCGUGGGUGAAGAGGGCCUUCGGGUUGUGAAGCCCUUUUGUUGGGAAAGAAAAGCAGCAGGUUAAUACCCCGCUGUUCUGACGGUACCCAAAGAAUAAGCGCCGGCUAACUUCGUG
rnacentral:rRNA from 1 species